GCCUCCGUAGCUUAACACUUAUUUAAAGCACUG
rnacentral:tRNA from 1 species